rnacentral:rRNA from 1 species
AAACAAGCCCUUGGGGCUCUCUGGUGAUUCAUAAUAACUUCUCGAAUCGCACGGCCUUGCGCCGGCGAUGGUUCAUUCAAAUUUCUGCCCUAUCAACUUUCGACGGCUGGGUCUUGGCCAGCCGUGGUGACAACGGGUAACGGAGGGUUAGGGCUCGACCCCGGAGAAGGAGCCUGAGAAACGGCUACUACAUCCAAGGAAGGCAGCAGGCGCGCAAAUUACCCAAUCCCGACACGGGGAGGUAGUGACAAUAAAUACUGAUACAGGGCUCUUUCGGGUCUUGUAAUUGGAAUGAGUACAAUUUAAAUCCCUUAACGAGGAACAAUUGGAGGGCAAGUCUGGUGCCAGCAGCCGCGGUAAUUCCAGCUCCAAUAGCGUAUAUUAAAGUUGUUGAGGUUAAAAAGCUCGUAGUUGAACCUUGGGCCUAGCCGGCCGGUCCGCCUCACCGCGUGCACUGGCUCGGCUGGGUCUUUCCUUCUGGAGAACCGCAUGCCCUUCACUGGGUGUGCCGGGGAACCAGGACUUUUACUCUGAACAAAUUAGAUCGCUUAAAGAAGGCCUAUGCUCGAAUACAUUAGCAUGGAAUAAUAGAAUAGGACGUGUGGUUCUAUUUUGUUGGUUUCUAGGACCGCCCGUAAUGAUUAAUAGGGACAGUCGGGGGCAUCAGUAUUCAAUUUGUCAAAAGGUGAAAUUCUUUGGAAUUUAUUUGAAAGACUAAACUACUGCCGAAAAGCAUUUUUGCCAAAGGAAUGGUUUUUCAUUUAAAUCAAGGGAAACCAAAAANUUUANGGGGGAAUCGAAAAAACCAAUUCCA